UGUGUAGGCGGUUCUUUAAGUUUGCUGUGAAAUCUCCCGGCUUAACCGGGAGGGUGCGGUGAAUACUGAGGGACUAGAGUACGGGAGAGGAAAGUGGAAUUCCUGGUGUAGCGGUGAAAUGCGUAGAUAUCAGGAGGAACACCGGUGGCGAAGGCGCACAUCUGGCCCGAUACUGACGCUGAAGCGCGAAAGCUAGGGGAGCAAACG
rnacentral:rRNA from 1 species